rnacentral:rRNA from 1 species
GACGAACGCUGGCGGCGUGCUUAACACAUGCAAGUCGAACAGUGGCGAACGGGUGAGUAACACGUGAGUAACCUGCCCUCCACUUUGGGAUAACUCCGAGAAAUCGGGGCUAAUACUGGAUAGUGGGGGAUGGGCUCGCGGCCUAUCAGUUUGUUGGUGAGGUAGUGGUCACCAAGGCGUGACGGGUAGCCGGCCUGAGCGGGCGACCGGCCACACGGGGACUAAGAGAGGGCGCAGGGGGGAACAGGAGGCAGCAGUGGAGAAUAUUGCACAAUGGGGGAACGCCAGAUGCGGAGGCGCCGCGUGGGGAAUGACGGGCUUCGGGUUGUGAACCUCUUUCAGCAAGGAAGCGGUACUUGCAGAAGAAGCACCGGCUAACUACGUGCCAGCCGCCGCGGUAAUAC